GAGGAUAUAGCUCAGUGGUAGAGUGCAUGCUUAGCAUGCACGAGGUCCUGGGUUCAAUCCCCAGUACCUCCU
rfam:Camelus ferus unplaced genomic scaffold scaffold765, whole genome shotgun sequence.